GUCAAAACAUAGAAGACACCUAAUGCAUGUAGAAUCUGAUGCAUUCAGCACUAUUGUUGACUUAUCUUGAAGAUAGACGAACUUUGAACAAAGUAAUUUCUUUCAGUCUUACAUACUAAAAAGAAAAAGAAAUCGCCGCUGCAAGCCAGAAUCAACACUCUUCCAAAAACUGACCCUCAUUUGCAUUCAUGUUACUUUGAGUUCCACUACCAGUCUGCCAAACCACCAAAGGA
rnacentral:misc_RNA from 1 species